CUGGCAGUCGGACGGGAUCCAUCGGAGAGCUUGCUCGAAGAUGGUGAGAGUGGCGCACGGGUGCGUAACGCGUGAGCAACCUACCUCUAUCAGGGGGAUAGCCUCUCGAAAGAGAGAUUAACACCGCAUAACAUCAACAGUUCGCAUGUUCAGUUGAUUAAAUAUUUAUAGGAUAGAGAUGGGCUCGCGUGACAUUAGCUAGUUGGUAGGGUAACGGCUUACCAAGGCGACGAUGUCUAGGGGCUCUGAGAGGAGAAUCCCCCACACUGGUACUGAGACACGGACCAGACUCCUACGGGAGGCAGCAGUAAGGAAUAUUGGUCAAUGGGCGGAAGCCUGAACCAGCCAUGCCGCGUGCAGGAAGACUGCCCUAUGGGUUGUAAACUGCUUUUGUCCAGGAAUAAACCUAUAUACGUGUAUAUAGCUGAAUGUACUGGAAGAAUAAGGAUCGGCUAACUCCGUGCCAGCAGCCGCGGUAAUACGGAGGAUCCGAGCGUUAUCCGGAUUUAUUGGGUUUAAAGGGUGCGUAGGCGGCCUAUUAAGUCAGGGGUGAAAUACGGUGGCUCAACCAUCGCAGUGCCUUUGAUACUGAUGGGCUUGAAUCCAUUUGAAGUGGGCGGAAUAAGACAAGUAGCGGUGAAAUGCAUAGAUAUGUCUUAGAACUCCGAUUGCGAAGGCAGCUCACUAAGCUGGUAUUGACGCUGAUGCACGAAAGCGUGGGGGAUCGAACAGGAUUAGAUACCCUGGUAGUCCACGCCCCUAAACGAUGAUAACUCGAUGUUGGGCGAUAGACAGCCCGCGGUCCAAACGAAAGCGUUUAAGUUAUCCACCCUGGGGGAGUACGCCCCCCAAGGGGUGAA
rnacentral:rRNA from 1 species